UGUACUCUUUGCCGGUCUGUGGGAGUCGUCAGCGAUGUGUCGUGAGACCGUGCCUCCUUUGGAGCAAAGACUUUUUUUUUCAUUGCACCCCUGGUGCUCAGUGCAACGCCUAGCACAGACACUGAACAAAUGCUAGCGAGCGGCGCGGGAAACGGGCCCGGCGAAGCUACGGCACAGUCCUUGUCACGCAAGCAGUGGCAAAAGCAGCGUUCUGAUCCAGCCAACUGGAGGCUGACUAACGUCGGGACCUGGUCCAUGGCGAGGUUUCAGAUGUUUGGAUAAGGGGGAAACCACAGCUCUAUUUUUAUUAACCUUUAACUGGAAUUUAGGGAAACUUAUGAAAGGAGCAGAGCCAGGAUUGUAAGAGCAAUAUUGUAACAACAAUAAAUAACGAAAGACUUAGCUACUCUUAUUGCUGUCGUGAACCAGACAGUUCCAAAGGACUGGUGACGAGAGAUGCUGUCCACCUCCAGAGACAACUGAUAAACUCAGGGUGAAGAAACCGAAAACCAAAGAAGUUAAGAGAUGUGAUCAUCUUCUCCUGAAUAAUGAGUGUCAGAAUCCAGGUGAUAAUAGGUUUUUCUCAUCACUCCUGGAUAUAUUAGCACAGUGCCUGGCACAUAGAUGAUGUUUAUUGAAUGCUCAUUAACCUGAUGAUGAACAUAAGGAUGAUUUCAGAAAGGCCUGGAGAGACUUACACGAACUGAUGCUGAG